UACAGAGGGGGCAAGCGUUGUUCGGAAUCACUGGGCUUAAAGGGCGCGUAGGCGGGCUUGCAAGUCAGGGGUGAAAGCCCACGGCUCAACCGUGGAAGUGCCUUUGAUACUGCGAGUCUUGAGGGAGGUAGGGGCGUGCGGAACUUCCGGUGGAGCGGUGAAAUGCGUAGAUAUCGGAAGGAACACCGGUGGCGAAAGCGGCGCGCUGGACCUCUACUGACGCUGAGGCGCGAAAGCCAGGGGAGCAAACGGG
rnacentral:rRNA from 1 species